UACGGAGGGUGCAAGCGUUAUCCGGAUUCACUGGGUUUAAAGGGUGUGUAGGCGGGUAUUUAAGUCAGUGGUGAAAUCUCUGGGCUCAACUCAGAAACUGCCAUUGAUACUAUUUAUCUUGAAUAUCGUUGAGGUUGGCGGAAUAUAUCAUGUAGCGGUGAAAUGCAUAGAUAUGAUAUAGAACACCGAUUGCGAAGGCAGCUAACUAAACGAUUAUUUGACGCUGAGGCACGAAAGCGUGGGGAUCAAACAGGA
rnacentral:rRNA from 1 species